rnacentral:rRNA from 1 species
AUUGAACGCUGGCGGCAGGCCUAACACAUGCAAGUCGAACGGUAACAGGAAGAAGCUUGCUUCUUUGCUGACGAGUGGCGGACGGGUGAGUAAUGUCUGGGAAACUGCCUGAUGGAGGGGGAUAACUACUGGAAACGGUAGCUAAUACCGCAUAACGUCGCAAGACCAAAGAGGGGGACCUUCGGGCCUCUUGCCAUCGGAUGUGCCCAGAUGGGAUUAGCUAGUAGGCGGGGUAACGGCUCACCUAGGCGACGAUCCCUAGCUGGUCUGAGAGGAUGACCAGCCACACUGGAACUGAGACACGGUCCAGACUCCUACGGGAGGCAGCAGUGGGGAAUAUUGCACAAUGGGCUCAAGCCUGAUGCAGCCAUGCCGCGUGUAUGAAGAAGGCCUUCGGGUUGUAAAGUACUUUCAGCGGGGAGGAAGGGAGUAAAGUUAAUACCUUUGCUCAUUGACGUUACCCGCAGAAGAAGCACCGGCUAACUCCGUG